rnacentral:rRNA from 1 species
GUCCACGCCCUAAACUAUGUCGACUGGGUGUCGGGGAAGUGAUUCCUUGGUACCGUAGCUAACGCGUGAAGUCGACCGCCUGGGGAGUACGGCCGCAAGGUUAAAACUCAAAGGAAUUGACGGGGACCCGCACAAGCGGUGGAUGAUGUGGAUUAAUUCGAUGCAACGCGAACAACCUUACCUACCCUUGACAUGUCCGGAAGCCUGCUGAAAGGCGGGGGUGCCCGAAAGGGAACCGGAACACAGGUGCUGCAUGGCUGUCGU